rnacentral:sRNA from 1 species
UGACUGUUUACCAUUCGGUCUACAGGA